CAAUAGCAUAUAUUAACGUUGUUGCAGUUGAAAAGCUCGUAGUUGAACUUUUGGUAGGAGCGACCUGGCCUUGGGCGCAUGCCCUUGUUUGCCGUGUGUCGUAUCUGGCCAUCCUUUUCUUCUUUUUGGAAGGAAUCCUUUACUGUGAGUAAACUGGAGUGCUCAAAACAAGACGUUUGUUUGGUACAUUAAAGCAUGGAAUAAUAAGAUAGGACCUGGUUACUAUUUUGUUGGUUUGCAUAGCUAGGUAAUGAUUAACAGGGACAGUUGGGGGUAUUCGUAUUUAAUUGUCAGAGGUGAAAUUCUUGGAUUUAUGAAAGACGAACGACUGCGAAANCANNNACCAAGGAUGUUUUCAUNAA
rnacentral:rRNA from 1 species